rnacentral:rRNA from 1 species
GUUGAACGCUGGCGGCGUGCCUAAUACAUGCAAGUCGAGCGAACGGACGAGAAGCUUGCUUCUCUGAUGUUAGCGGCGGACGGGUGAGUAACAGGUGGAUAACCUGCCUAUAAGACUGGGAUAACUUCGGGAAACCUGAUCUAAUACAGGAUGAGAUUUUGAACCGCAUGGUUCAAAAGUGAAAAAGGGUCUAGCUGUGACUUAUAGGUGGUUCCGCGCUGCAUUAGCUAGUUGGUAAGGUAACGGCUUACCAAGGCAACGAUGCAUAGCCGACCUGAGAGGGUGAUCGGCCACACUGGAACUGAGACACGGUCCAGACUCCUACGGGAGGCAGCAGUAGGGAAUCUUCCGCAAUGGGCGAAAGCCUGACGGAGCAACGCCGCGUGAGUGAUGAAGGUCUUCGGAUCGUAAAACUCUGUUAUUAGGGAAGAACAUAUGUGUAAGUAACUGUGCACAUCUUGACGGUACCUAAUCAGAAAGCCACGGCUAACUACGUG